rnacentral:rRNA from 1 species
AGCGAACGCUGGCGGCAGGCCUAACACAUGCAAGUCGAACGAACCUUCCGGGGUUAGUGGCGGUUGGGUGAGUAACACGUGGGAAGGUGCCUUUAGGUUUGGAAUACUUCAGUUAAAUUUGUGCUAAUACCGAAUGUGCUCUUCGGGGGAAGGAUUUAUCGCCUUUAGGGCGGCCCGCGACUGAUUAGCCAGUUGGUUGUGGUAAUGCCUCACCAGGGCGACGUUCAGUAGCUGGUCUGAGAGGAUGAUCAGCCACAUUGGGACUGAGACACGGCCCAAACUCCUACGUGGGGCAGCAGUUGGGAAACUUGCGCGAUGGGCGAGAGCCUGACGCAGCCAUGCCGCGUGAAUGAUGAUGGUCUUAGGAUUGUAAAAUUCUUUCCCCGGCGGCGAUGACGGCAGUACCCGAAGAAGAACCCGCUAAUAACUUC